rnacentral:rRNA from 2 species
GGAUGAACGCUGGCGGCGUGCUUAACACAUGCAAGUCGAACGAAUUACUUUAAAGGAAGUUUUCGGAUGGAAUUUAAAGUAGUUAGUGGCGGACGGGUGAGUAACGCGUGGGAAACCUGCCCUAUACAGGGGGAUAGCCUCGGGAAACCGGGAUUAAUACCCUAUGAAACUCUAGAGCCGCAUGGCUCAUGGGUCAAAGAUUUAUCGGUAUAGGAUGGUCCCGCGUCUGAUUAGCUAGUUGGUGAGGUAACGGCUCACCAAGGCGACGAUCAGUAGCCGGCCUGAGAGGGUGAACGGCCACACUGAAACUAAGACACGGUCCAGACUCCUACGGGAGGCAGCAGUGGGGAAUAUUGCACAAUGGGGGAAACCCUGAUGCAGCGACGCCGCGUGAGCGAAGAAGGCCUUCGGGUCGUAAAGCUCUGUCCUAAGGGAAGAAACGGACGGUACCUUAGGAGGAAGCCCCGGCUAACUACG